GUGUCAGCCGCCGCGGUAAUACGUAGGGGGCAAGCGUUAUCCGGAUUUACUGGGUGUAAAGGGAGCGCAGACGGCAGUGCAAGUCUGAUGUGAAAGCCCGGGGCUCAACCCCGGAACUGCAUUGGAAACUGCACAGCUGGAGUGUCGGAGAGGUAAGCGGAAUUCCUAGUGUAGCGGUGAAAUGCGUAGAUAUUAGGAGGAACACCGGUGGCGAAGGCGGCUUACUGGACGAUAACUGACGUUGAGGCUCGAAAGCGUGGGGAGCAAACAGGAUUAGAAACCCGGGUAGUCC
rnacentral:rRNA from 1 species